AGGGCAGGCGGAGCGCCCGCGGGCGGCGGUCCUCGGCCUCCCGGGUCUGCGCUCCGGGAAGCUGCUCCGAGCCGGGGUGUUGUUGCUAAUGAGCUCUCUCUCCUCCCCUCUUACAAUGAAAGACAAGCCAGCCCCCGGGUACCUGGAUGGAUUGAGAGCCGAAGUGUCAGAAACUUCAUAAUAAGUUGCCGAUGGCUACCAGCCAAGGCUGGAGGGUUGUUUUGCAGUUGUGUUGAGCACAUCACACAUUCAGGGCCCUUUAAAGACCUGGAUUGAUUGGAAGGACAAAAAUUAAAAGCAAUCUGAUCCGACCUCAUGCCAGAUCCCUGAGGAUUUGCUCCCUUUCCCAUUUCCAUCCACUGUCACAAUUUGAGAGCCUGCCUGAUUUGAUCAGAUUCACCUCUGGGAGAGGUGCAAUGCCAAGGUUAGGAGGACACAAAGUUAUGGGCAACUUUUUGAUCUGCCCAUCAGCAGUCUGAGAAACGCUGGCUCUGAGUUUUCCGAGUCAGCCUUUGGGAAGAAACAAGUUCCUCGCUCUUUGCAACCCGGCCGUGUUCGAGUCCCUGGGACAUCCAGCCACCGUUGCCUGGUAGAUGUGGCACUUUCCAUGCUGAGGCCGAGAGUCCCGCCUGACCCAGUCGCUGCCUCUCCAGGGCCUCUCUGGGCCACGCCCCUGCGGACUGCUCAGCCAUGCUGCACCUGCUCGCACUUUUCCUGCACUGCCUCCCACUGGCCUCUGGGGACUACGACAUCUGCAAAUCCUGGGUGACCACCGAUGAGGGCCCCACCUGGGAGUUCUACGCCUGCCAGCCCAAGGUGAUGCGGCUGAAGGACUACGUCAAGGUGAAGGUGGAGCCCUCAGGCAUCACGUGCGGAGACCCCCCUGAGAGAUUCUGCU